rnacentral:snoRNA from 1 species
AACUCAUGGUGAUGGCACUAUCUCAAUAAGUCCUUGUAGCUCUCCCAUGCAUCAUAUAGUGUCUUUAAAUUGAUCUAAACAAAAGAAGAGAUAUCAUUCCUCAACUU